ACAUCUGCCUUGGAUCACUCACUCUGUGGGAAGCCAGCUUCCCUGUGGUGAGGACACUCAAACAGUCUUAGGAAGACGCUUCCAUGGAGAGUAACUGCAGCCUCCUGACCACAGUCAGCGAGGAACUAAGACUUUCUGCCAACAGCCACAUGAGUGACCCAUCUUAGGAGAUGAUUCUCCAGCCCCAGUCAAACCUUCAGAUGAUGUGGUUCCAGCAAACGUCUUGAGAGCCUAUGCUGAAAGCACAUUCUGUGGGCAGCUGCAUCCUUGAACAUUGUCUGGAGCCUGCUGUAUUUUGAAAGAACUCUUUGUCGCAUACUCUAGGGCACAGAUGAGGCAGCAUCAUAGGUGGGUUAAGCAGUUACCUCAUCUUUGGCACAACCUGCUAAGCUAACCUGAGUACUCCCAACCAUUAUUCCACAAGCCUCUACCGAGUGCCUCCUGUAUGACAAGUGUCAUAGAACUCACAUCAACAGGAUGCAUUUCCUGGAGGCACAGUUCAAUAGAGAGCUGGGGGUGAAAAAAAAAAGAGAGAAAAGAAAAGAUAAGAAAGCUCUAACAUUUGAGCUUGAAAUGUCACAGGGAGCCAAGGAAGUUGUCUGAUGGGUUACCCUGUCAUCUCCAAGCCAAAAGAAAAAAAAAAUUUCAGAUCCAUCAAUUUGUUCCUGCCCUUUUAAUCCAAACAAUAUUUUACAGCAUCAGAAUGCAAAGAAAUUAUUUCUUAGACAUUCAACUCUGCAUGUGGACGGCUGAGCACUUAACCAGAAAGCAGCAACAGAGAACUGUAGGUUGUUCAAGUGUCUGUACAUCUGAUUGAUCCAGAUUGAAUGUAUAAUAUACUGGAACACAUAUGAGAGCCUACUGGUGACAUAUAUUCAUUCAUUCAUUCAUCCAUGAGGAGUUGACAUCGCUUUGCUAUAGACAAUGACUUUGAAGAGACACCUGUGUACAUGUGCACCAGCUGCCCAGGUUGAGGACUGCUCCUGCCUGUUCUGGACCUGCUCCUCCCUUUGGCUGGCUUUCCAAUUAGUGUAGACAUGUUGUCUAGUAUCCUAGCCUCUCUUUGAGCCACAUUUGAGGAUACCACCAACCACCCCUUGGAUCAAAUGCUUGGCUCUUGGGCUCAGACCCUGUUGGGAUAUAGCUUUAUUUACAAAGUAGGCUGAAAGACUCCCUCUCCUGACAAGGAAAGCUGAUUGGCAGUAUGAAGAGUACACUGCAGAAGUUUCGAGGAGGACAAGCACUUACGAUGGCUUUACAGGGAUGGCUGCCCAAGUGAGAUAGAAUUUAACAUGACAAAAUGAAGGCACAGAGAAAUGAUAUAGCUUGCUCAAGGUCAUACAGAAGUGGUGGAUCUGGGAUUUGAACCCAUGUCAUCUGAUGGCAGAGCCUUCACAAGACUGACAUGUAUUGCUUGCUAGUGAUUCCAUAUCUACCUGUCUGUAAUUUCUAAUUCUAUUUUCUGUAGGAAUUAAAAUCAGU